CCCACCGCCGCGGCGCUUGGCCUGGCAGCGGCCGGGCGGUGGCGCAGGAAAGCGGCAAGGCAGCACUGCACAAUUGUUCUGGUGGCACUGCUGGCUGGGAGACCGGCUGGGGCCGCCAGAGCUGGGUGCUGCUGGAGCGAGAGGUGCCAGCGGAGGGUCGCAGCUCCAGGAGGACUCUCGAAAGGAGCCAUGGAGUACUAUCUUGCUGCUGGCGCCCGAAAUAUAGAUGGAGUGCUGAGCGCAAAGGAGAAUAGGGGUGAGCUGUGCAAGAAGGCUAUUGAGAUGGUGGCCUGAAUGCCCAUGAGCGUCUCUGUCUUUCUAGCUUGAGUGCAGAAGACAGCAGGUGUAGUAAGAUGUACUGAGCUGCUGGACAUCCCGCUCGGGGUCAAAAUCCCUUUGUUGCCUGGCUCCCACCCUGUCUUCUGCCAGACCAAGCUGGGGGAAAAGGUGGUUUGCACUCUGUGGGAGUUCAACGAAUACAGGCAGUAUCUGAUGACACUCAAAACAGAGGCUGACAAAAUGUGCCAGCGAGAACAAGUUUCUUGCCAUGACUGUGCAGAGGAUGGAGAAGCUUGAGGCCCUUGAAGAAGAGAAACGCCUCCUCCAGCAGGCUGAGCGAGACCAGAAGUCUUUACGUGAAGAGCUGCAUAGUGAAAUCCGGACUACGCUGAUAGGGACUACAAGGACAGAAGCCCAGGAGCUGGAAGAGGUGGCUGAGAGCAUGCUGGAGGAAGUGCUGGAGAGGGUGAAAGAGCUGGAUUGGCUAGUCCAUGUUUUAAGGAGGGCUCCACUGGCAAUCAGUGGAAGGUUGCUUGCUAGUGCUAGAAGGGCAGAGCCUUCUGAGACGACAUCUCCAGAUCUCCAGGAGGAAAUUGGACUGGUGGCUAGAGAGAUUGUAGCAACCGUUACUGAUGCCUUAGGGAAGCAUUUGGUAUGCAGUGCAUCAGAUGCCUGUGAGCCCAGGCUGUCGGCCGGGCAGAGGGAGCCGUACGUAGCCGCACGAGCCAGGUGAGCUGGCAAACUGGAAGAAAGCAGGCUGAGGGCAGCUGAAUUACCAGGCUAUAACAGCAACUUCUCUGGCGUCUCUUGACAAAAUCGCCAAAGAUGCUGUUG